GAUGAACGCUAGCGGCAGGCUUAACACAUGCAAGUCGAGGGGCAGCGCGGAGUAGCAAUACUCUGGCGGCGACCGGCGGAAGGGUGCGUAACACGUGAGCGACUUGCCCGUCACAGGGAGAUAACCCGCUGGAAACGGCGACUAAUAUCCCAUAUGAUGACGAUCUGCAUGGAUUGUCAUUGAAAGAUUCAUCGGUGGCGGAUAGGCUCGCGGGGCAUUAGCUAGACGGCGGGGCAACGGCCCACCGUGGCGACGAUGCCUAGGGGUUCUGAGAGGAAGGUCCCCCCACAUUUGGAACUGAGACACGGUCC
rnacentral:rRNA from 1 species